GCCACUGCGGCGGCGGGGCCCAGGCGACCGGGGGACGGCGGCGGGCGAGCGGGCGCAUGGCGACGACGGCGGGAGCGCGGCGGGGCCGGCGGGGCCCGAGCCCAUGCCGAGCUACGCGCAGCUGGUGCAGCGCGGCUGGGCAGCGCGCUGGCGGCCGCGCGGGGCUGCGCGGACUGCGGCUGGGGGCUGGCGCGCCGCGGGCCUGGCCGAGCACGCGCACCUGGCGCCGCCCGAGCUGCUGCUGCUGGCGCUCGGCGCGCUCGGCCUCACCGCGCUGCGCUCCGCGGCCACCGCGCGCCUCUUUCGGCCUCUGGCCAAGCGGUGCCACCUUCAGCCCAAAGAUGCCGCCAAGCUGCCCGAGAGCGCCUGGAAGUUUCUGUUCUACCUGGGCUGCUGGAGCUACAGCGCCUACUUGCUGUUUGGCACUGACUACCCGUUCUUCUACGACCCGCCGUCCGCCUUCUAUGACUGGACUCCAGGCAUGGCGGUGCCGUGGGACAUCGCGACCGCCUACCUGCUGCAGGGAAGCUUCUACGGUCACUCCAUCUACGCCACGCUCUACAUGGACACCUGGCGUAAAGACUCCGUGGUCAUGCUCGUCCACCACGUGGUCACCUUGGUCCUCAUCGUCUCCUCCUACGCCUUCCGGUACCACAACGUGGGGCUCCUCGUGCUCUUCCUGCACGACAUCAGCGACGUGCAGCUGGAGUUCACCAAGCUCAACGUGUAUUUCAAGGCCCGCGGCGGCUCCUACCGCCGGCUGCACGCCCUGGUGGCGGACCUGGGCUGCCUCAGCUUCUGCUUCAGCUGGUUCUGGUUCCGCCUCUACUGGUUCCCACUCAAGGUCCUGUACGCCACGUGCCACACCAGCCUGAUCUCGGUGCCCGACAUCCCUUUCUACUUCUUCUUCAACGCGCUGCUGCUGCUGCUCACUGUCAUGAACGUCUACUGGUUCCUGUACAUCGUGGCCUUUGCCACCAAGGUGCUGACGGGCCAGCUGCGUGAGCUGAAAGACCUGCGUGAAUACGACAUGGUGGACACCCAGAGCCCCAAGCCCAGCAAGGCCGAGUGAGUGUGCAGGGCCCGCCCCGAGUCCCUUCCCUUUGCGAUGGGCUGGCCUGGCGGCCGCGGCCACCAAUGAGGGGACGGCCACUGGGCUGAGCCCGCGUCCACCUGCAGCAGACACCGCGGGGACGGGGACAGCGGGAAGGGUGCGGAGGGCUGGGGAGGGCGAGCUGCGCCUGAACCCCACGAGUGACCGCAGGCGCCUCAGGUGCAGUGGGGGACAGGAGGCCGCGGAGGGAGGCAGUCGGCCAGACUCCGUGACCGGGUCAGGAUGGAGGCCGGAGGCUGAGGCAGGCCGUGGUGCCGGGGCCGGGCCUGCGGUUGCUCCCCGAAGAUCGUGAGGUCCAGGGUAGCCUGGGCUGUACAGUGACACCCCGUCUCAAGACCAAGGGGCGUGGGGACAGAGCCCCAACAGGGGGACCUGACAGUAGGGCCAGGGACAGCUCUUACGACCACUCAAGUCAGUGGAAGCACUGAGUCCCCGCCAAGCCGGGCUCCGACAGAGGAAGCCUGAGAGAGGGUCACCCCCAGAGGGGUGCAGGGCAGGCCAGGGUGGCCAUCGGGAGGCCAUCACCAUCGUCUGGCCACAGCCAGGACAAGAGUGGUGAGACAGGCCUGGAAGGGAGAGCCAGCAGGCUUGGUGUGGAUGUAGAUAACGCGGAAGUAAAAAAUCAGAGAUGACCCAAGACUCUUGGCUCAAACUGCUGCUUGCGGGCAGGGCCGUGUGCACCUGUGGAUGGGUCUCAACUGGGGGACAGGGACUUCCCGUGCAGCUGUCCCUUGAAUGCAAGCCAGGGGUUCUGUAGAGAUGGGUGAGGUCUCGCUAAGGAAUCUUCCAGAACAUGCUAGAAGCUUCCAGAGCAAGCAGUGACCAAAGACAAUUCGGGAGGGAGGAGGAGCCAUAUCUGAUCCGCCGGCAGAUCACGUGAGCGUUCCUGUUUUUAUUUAUUUACUGUUUGGUGGUGGUGCAUUUCUUCUGCAAACCUAAAAACUUCACAAAUGGAAAACAAAGUCCUAAGAAGUGAAAAGUGGGGGGGCCAUGCCUGUGACCCCAGCAAUUUACAGUCAAUCUCGUCCUCAAGUUGAUGGGAACAGCUGGGGAGACCCAGUGAAUGGAGGCUGUGAAGAAAUGACCCAAGGCACGGUGGCGUUUGUAGUUGGGGACCACGGAUGCUGGAGAAUGACUCCGGCUGGCCGAGAACACGGGGUGCUGAGAACUUUCUGGAAGUGAUGAGAUAGGAAGGUGUCGGGCCCCACAUUCAUCCCAACAAAAAUGGAGACCAGCAGGACACACCGUGCAAAAGCAUCCUGACGACCCAGGGAGCAGGAGAACAGUGGAAGACACAGUCACCAAAGUGUCACCACAAGUGGCCACAGAGAACCAACAGUCAACCUGUGAUUUUGUGCACAGUUUUCAAAAUAAUUAGCCAGGCAUGUUGGCUCACCCGUCAUCCCAGCUACUUGGGAGGCUGAGAUGGGGAGGACACGGUUUGAGGCCAGAUAGUUCUCAAGACCCCAUCUCCAAAGAGCCGGAGCAAAAUGAACCAGCGGUGUGGCUGUGUAGUCCAGGCUGGCCUUGAACUCCUGGGUUCAAGUGAUUCUCCUGCCUCAGCCUCCCAAGUAGCUGGGAUGACAGGGGUGAGCCACCAGCGCCCGGCUGCACCCCACUUUUUUUGUUUUUUUGGUAGCCCUGGGGUUUGAACUCAGGGUGUCACACUUACCAGACAGGCGCGCUACGCCUGGAGCCACUCGCCAGCCCUUUUUUGUGAAGGGUUUUUCGAGACAGGGUCUCGAGAACUAUUUCCCCAGGCUGGCUUCGAACCUCGAUCCUCCUGAUGUCUACCUCCUGAGUAGCCGGGAUUACAGGCGUGAGCCACAGCGCCUGGUCUUAGCUAGCACUUCGGAACAUCCAAGACCGACCCCCACGCCCACCUCUCUGGAGCUUUUUCCUGUUGACAUCAAUGGCAACUCCGGUCUCGAGUGACCUGGCAAGUCCCUGGGGAGCCCACCCUGCUCCUCUCCUUGCCCAGGAAGAAAGGCGUCUGUCCGCCCCAUCGCUCUCUCUCUCUCUCUCUCUCUCUCUGUGGCUUCCACCCCGCUGGGUGGUGGGCUGAAUCUGUAGGUGACAAUCUGAUGUCCCCUCGUUGCCGUCCUGCCUCCCCGAGUGGGAAAUACUGACAGGGAAGGGACACUGCGAAGUUUGUGCAGAAAAGCAAACACGUCCGUCGGGAAGCUGGGGUAAGGGCAGCAUGAGGUGGAGAUGCCAAUGGCGGAAAGUACAGGCACCCAGCCUGCUGCGGUGACACCCGCGGGCCCCAGCUACUCAGGAUGUAAGCAAAUCCCGGUUCCGCCCGCGGAGGCGGCGACUGGAAAGAAGUCGGAAGAAGCCAUGAUGCCGCCUCAAGUCUGAGCGGGGCCAGUGGCCCCGGGAAGAGGCCCGGGCUCUGGAGUUAAAGGACGUCCAGCUGCAGGUCAGGGUGACAAGAGAAGGAAAGCAGCUGAGCCAGGUGCGGUGGGGAGGUGGGGACACGUGCGGUGCCAGCAACUGGGGAAGUUGAGGCAGGACGGCUUGAGCCCAGGAGUUCAAGGCCAGCUACGCAGCGAGAUCCGGUCUCCCAGCAGAACAAGCUAAAAAGUGGCCUAGAGCGAGGCUCUGACGGCAGAGACCGAGGGGUGACCCCCGCGGGGAAAGUGACCGCCACCAGUGCAGCAGCGGCCGGGGGGGGACCUCCCGCAUCGCGUUCUUGGCAAACCUUUGAGACGUGCAAAGUAGACGUCUUGUUUCGGGGUUCACUCCAUCUCAGGCGUGGAGUGAGCGCUUACCUUAGGCUUUGCGUCACCAGCAGCACCCCAAAAAGAAGCCGCUGAGGAAUGGGCUGGUGAAGGACAAGCUCUUCUGACCCCCUCAACCCGCCCAACACGGCCCCGGGACUGGCCCCGCCCCCAGGGCUCUGACCACACCCCUAGCGCCAGCCACGCCCCUGGAGGCCUGGCCCCGCCCCUCUGGAUUGCAGCCACGCCCCCGGGGGAAACCUCGUCCAAUCCCAGGACUCCGCUCCCGGCCCGAUGACCCCCGCCCCCAAGGACUCUGCUGAUC